AAAAUGUGUCCAGAUGGAACUUUAAAUUUCAAUAUCUCUGGGAUUUUAGAUGCUAUACCUACAAAGCAAUGCAUUUUUUUGCUGCUGGUACAGUGGACAAAAACAAUAUCACCCUUCAGUGGAAACACUGUGCAAUGUAUUUCUACCCUUUGCAUUAUAAUUGAAAUACAAAAAUUAGAGUCAAGUAGUAUUUGUUUCAGUAUACCCCAUGAAACAAAGCUUUUGGAGGUUCGUUCUUAAGGUAUUUACUAUAAAUCAAUGAAAAGUAAAGAAUCAUUUCUGAAAAGAUUCAACAGACCAGGCUAGAUUGGUCACAAAUUACAGAAAGACAUGAUAUUAGGCUUUAGCCCUGUCUGCUGCAUUACCCUGGGGCCUAACACUGGAGCCUAAGGACUCCCCCACACCAUCCAACAACUGGAGCCAACGGACUCCCCCAAACCAUCCAACAACUGGAGCCAAAUGACUCCCCCACCCCAUCUAACCACUGGAGCCAAAGGACUCUCCCACACCAUCCAACAACUGGAGCCAAAGGACUCCCCCACCCCAUCCUAAAACUGGAGCCAAAGGACUCUCCCACACCAUCCAGCAACUGGAGCCUAAGGACUUCCCCCACACCAUCCAACAACAGGGGCCACAGGUCUCCACAGCACCACCUUAACAGGCCUUCUACUGCACAUAGCAGUGACCAAAACACACUGUGCCUGGACCAGUGUGGAUUUAACCUGAUGACCCCAUGAUGGGACUAGUCAACAUCUGGACAAAAGUGACCAUCCACCUUUUUUUGUUCUAGGAAGAACACAUUUUUUAUAUCAGGGUGAAAAGAAAAUCUCCCAGCAGGACAGCUGAAGAAUCCUAAUGGAACAGUUUUUCUUAUUUUAGAGUUUAAAAUAUUUUAAGGUAUAAGAUUUUGGAUAUAAGUCUCAGUCAGUUCAUACUUUUUUAUACCUUACCCACAAAAUAAUUUGCCAAAUAUCCUGCCAUAAUAAAAUAAUCAUUUAUGACAAUUUAAGUAAGAUAAGUAAGAUAUUGAAUACAUCAGGGGGUAGGCAACCAUGUUCCAGAAGUACUUCAGAACUGCUGAAUUUUGUUCCAACAAAACACAACAAUCUGUUGUGUAGGCUAAAUAAAUAAAUAUGAAUUGCCUGCGGAACUUGGUAUACAGGAUUUAAUUCAGCUUUCAUUCGAGUUGUACAGUAUGCGUUAUGUAAUGGAGCUGUAACGUAUUGCGAGACACUCAAAUGUGAUGAUAUUUGUAUAAUAUGUUUAGCCAAGAAUGCAAAAUAUAUUGAAAGAGUGCUGUUUCAGCAACAACAUCAAUAUCAACAACCAGAUGUAAAACAUUCUCCAUUGUCUAAUAAUUGUCUUAUUACAUGAA
ensembl:lncRNA